UACAGAGGGUGCGAGCGUUGUUCGGAAUUAUUGGGCGUAAAGGGCGCGUAGGCGGUGCCACAAGUCACUUGUGAAAUCCCCGGGCUUAACCCGGGGCCUGCAGGCGAAACUGUGGUGCUGGAGUAUGGGAGAGGUGCGUGGAAUUCCCGGUGUAGCGGUGAAAUGCGUAGAUAUCCGUAGGAACAUCCGAGGCGAAGGCGGCUCGCUGGAUCACAACUGACGCUGAGGGACGAAAGCUAGGGGAGCAAACAG
rnacentral:rRNA from 1 species